rnacentral:lncRNA from 1 species
CCUCCCCCUCGAGCGCCAGCGUGACGCUACCGGGGUUCGAUGCUGAUUAACGAACUUUUAGGCCGCCGCGCGCGCGAGACACAGGACCGAGCGGUGCGAGGCGCUGGGGCUUUAGGGAUGGCGGACUCGCCCCCCGGGGCUACGCGCCGGCGGGGCCGGGGUAGGAGGCGGCGGGUGGGGGCUGCUCCCUCCUCGGCCUUCCGCCUUCCGGCGCUCGGCGUCACCUUCCUCUUCCUCCUGCUUCAGAGACCCCCCGCAGUUCAGUCUUCAAGGAGAUUCUCAGGAAUUGCAAAUCCAAAUCAUAAUGAUUUGAAAAUAGUAGGAUCAACCACAUUUCCAGUCAAAAUUUAUGUCAAGGUGAAUCACAACAGUCCACGUAUUCUGUGUGUAACAAAUCGGCUACGAAAUUCAGAGCUGAUAGAUCCAGUAUUCCAAUG